ACAACACCAAUAAAUGAUACACCAAUGAAGGUGAAGAUCGGCACGCGCCAGCUGAGGUGGGAUCCCGAGGUGGAUGCACCACCAGCCGUCUCGCCCGCUCUGUCGGGGAGGUGGAGCAUGAGCACCCGUGCUAAGACCCGAAAGAUGGUGAACUAUGCCUGGGUAGGGCGAAGACGGAGGAAACUCUGGUGGGGGUCCGUAGCUUUCCUGAUGUGCAAAUCCUGUUCCACAUGCUCUAGGUGACUCUGAGUGUGCAGGGAGGUUGGACUAGAUGACCUCUAGAGGUCCCUUCCAACCUUAAGCAUUCUAUGAUUCUGUGAUUCUAGGAAAUCAGUCAUCUGACCCAGUAGAGGGGCGAAAGACUAAUCGAACUGUCUAGUAGCUGG
rnacentral:ncRNA from 1 species